rnacentral:rRNA from 1 species
CCCGCUGAACUUAAGCAUAUCAAUAAGCGGAGGAAAAGAAACUAACAAGGAUUCCCCUAGUAACUGCGAGUGAAGCGGGAAAAGCUCAAAUUUAAAAUCUGGCGGUCCUUGUGGCUGUCCGAGUUGUAAUCUAGAGAAGUGCUAUCCGCGCUGGACCGUGUACAAGUCUCCUGGAAUGGAGCGUCAUAGAGGGUGAGAAUCCCGUCUUUGACACGGACUGCCAGGGCUUUUGUGAUGCGCUCUCGAAGAGUCGAGUUGUUUGGGAAUGCAGCUCUAAAUGGGUGGUAAAUUCCAUCUAAAGCUAAAUAUAGGCGAGAGACCGAUAGCGAACAAGUACCGUGAGGGAAAGAUGAAAAGAACUUUGGAAAGAGAGUUAAACAGUACGUGAAAUUGCUGAAAGGGAAACGUUUGAAGUCAGUCGCGUCGGCUGGAGAUCAACCUUGCUCUUGCAGGGCGCACUCUCUGGUUGAUGGGUCAGCAUCAGUUUUGAUCCGUUGGAUAAAGGUCAGGGGAAUGUGGCAUCGAUUCGUUGAUGUGUUAUAGCCCUCGGUCGUAUACAGCGGUUGGGACUGAGGAACUCAGCGCGCCGCAAGGCCGGGUCUUCGGACCACGUUCGCGCUUAGGAUGCUGGCAUAAUGGCUUUAAGCGACCCGUCUUGAAACACGG